rnacentral:rRNA from 1 species
GUGCCAGCAGCCGCGGUAAGACGAACCGUCCAAACGUUAUUCGGAAUCACUGGGCUUAAAGGGCGCGUAGGCGGCCGAGCGGGUCACGGGUGAAAUCCUCCAGCUUAACUGGAGAACUGCCCUUGAUACCACUGCGGCUCGAGGAAGGAAGGGGUCAUGGGAACUGUCGGUGGAGCGGUGAAAUGCGUUGAUAUCGACAGGAACGCCGGUGGCGAAAGCGCAUGACUGGUCCUUUUCUGACGCUGAGGCGCGAAAGCCAGGGGAGCAAACGGGAUUAGAAACCCUUGUAGUCC